AAGAUUGUGUGAAACAUUGACUACAAGACCCCCUUUUGUAAAAUUUAUUUUGGAAAGCCAUGCAGAAUACUAAUUGUUUUCCAAAAGCUCUAAACCUGAAUUUCCUGGAACAGAACACAUAUAAUUGGAGUGGGAAUGAAAGGGCAAAGCAUAAUAAACAUACUUAACAGGCCAUAACCAUUAACUACUAAGGGGUUAAUUAACUACCAGUGACACACUUGUCCCAAACUAAGACCUGGUUGGACUUUUGCACUUCGUCCUACGGAGUAGCUGAGAAUCAUAAAGCUCUUAUAGGAUGUUUGUUGUAUGAAUAUAGUGUAAUGCUCCAAGUAGAAAUGGAAUAUCAAAGGAAAACAAUAUAAGUUGAAAUAAGGACAACAGAACAAGCGCUGAGCUACAUGAGCUUAUUUGUCAUCCUUCUGACACUACUGGAUUCCUUUUUCCCCAAAGGAAAUUUUCAUUCACUCAACAGCAAGGAAAGACUUACUGGCAAUGCUCAAAUUUGGAAAAACCAGCAAACAUGCAGUACUGUGCAGCAGAUGGCAAGAUGUUCUAGAGAUUCCAUUAAGAGCAUCACAGUCAUCAUGUGAUGCAAGACAAAAGCAAACACUUGUAGCAGCCAACUGGAAUCAAUUCCUCUACAGUGACAACAGAGAUGGCAACCUACAGCUUGCAGGAACAGAAAGCUGAGAGUGAAAUCACAGGCCACCCACAUAUAUAGAGAUACCCCAAAGGGCACAAAUACUCAUUAUUACACACAAGUCACCAGGAAUCAAGGACAGUUGAAAAAGAACCCAUGACGUUAUCUAUCAAGAAGCUUGCUGAGCAGCUUCUAAGAGCUCCUCCUUUAGAGCACACUGAAAUGCCUGAGUUAAAGUACUGCAUGGAUUUCUACAUAUGAUGAGAUGUCAUAAUCAAGAAGAUGAGCUACAAUAAGAAGCUACAAACAGCUUGGAUAGUAUUUUCUUUUCUCAGCAUAGCACUACAUAAGAAAAAAUAGGGAGUUACCAGCAGCUACCUUGUUCUUAAGUGGAACACAGUUUCAUCCUGUAAAAGUUACAUAUUUCUAGUAGAAUUUCUAUUCAUUUUCACCUAGCUUGGUUUAAAUACACAGGAAAUUAGCCAGAUGAUUAUCAAGCUUUAACCCAAGAGCUUGCCACUACCACUUAAAAACAUCUUGACAUUUCUCAGAAGCAUUUUCUCCAUGGUUCAAGCAGCCCAGUUAUAGGUUAAAGGGCUGAAUCC